UACGAAGGGGGCUAGCGUUGUUCGGAAUUACUGGGCGUAAAGCGCGUGUAGGCGGGUCUUUAAGUCAGAGGUGAAAUGCCAGGGCUCAACCUUGGAACUGCCUUUGAUACUGGAGACCUUGAGUCCGGGAGAGGUGAGUGGAAUUGCGAGUGUAGAGGUGAAAUUCGUAGAUAUUCGCAAGAACACCAGUGGCGAAGGCGGCUCACUGGCCCGGAACUGACGCUGAGACGCGAAAGCGUGGGGAGCAAACAGG
rnacentral:rRNA from 1 species